AGAGUUUGAUCCUGGCUCAGGACGAACGCUGGCGGCGCGCUUAACACAUGCAAGUCGAACGGGGCUCGGCCUUCGGGUCGGGUUCAGUGGCGAACGGGUGCGUAACACGUGAGCAACCUGCCCCUGUAUGGGGGAUAACCCUGGGAAACCGGGGCUAAUACCGCAUGCGCUCUUGGGGUCUCCUGGCUCGAAGAGGAAAGUCCCUGAAAGGGGAUGUGCAGGGAGGGGCUCGCGGCGUAUCAGCUAGUUGGCGGGGUAACGGCCCACCAAGGCAACGACGCGUAGCCGGUCUGAGAGGACGACCGGCCACAUUGGGACUGAGAUACGGCCCAGACUCCUACGGGAGGCAGCAGUGGGGAAUCUUGCGCAAUGGGCGAAAGCCUGACGCAGCGACGCCGCGUGGGGGAGGAAGCUUUUCGGAGUGUAAACCCCUGUCAGGAGGGAAGAACGGUCUUGGGAGGAAAUGCCUGAGAUUUGACGGUACCUCCAGAGGAAGCACCGGCUAACUCUGUGCCAGCAGCCGCGGUAAUACAGAGGGUGCGAGCGUUGUUCGGAAUUACUGGGCGUAAAGCGCGCGUAGGCGGUCGUUUAAGUCUUACCGUGAUAUGCCGGGGCUCAACCCCGCGCACGUCGGGGGAUACUGGACGACUGGAGACAAGUAGAGGCGAGCGGAAUUCCGGGUGUAGCGGUGGAAUGCGUAGAGAUCCGGAAGAACACCAGAGGCGAAGCGGCUCGCUGGGCUUCUGNNGCUGAGNNNCGAAAGCGUGGGGAGCGAACAGGAUUAGAUACCCUAGUAGUCC
rnacentral:rRNA from 1 species